rnacentral:rRNA from 1 species
UCCGAUGGGGGCUAGCGUUGUUCGGAAUUACUGGGCGUAAAGCGCGUGUAGGCGGGCCGUUAAGUCGGGGGUGAAAGCCCAGAGCUCAACUCUGGAAUUGCCUUCGAUACUGGCGGCCUGGAGCAUGAUAGAGGCGAGUGGAAUUGCGAGUGUAGAGGUGAAAUUCGUAGAUAUUCGCAGGAACACCAGUGGCGAAGGCGACUCGCUGGAUCAUUGCUGACGCUGAGACGCGAAAGCGUGGGGAGCAAACAGG